GACGACCUGCACUUUCUGAAAGAAAAAAAUAAGAAUUUUCCACAUCAACUUUUAGUGUCAGUAGCAUUUCAAAUUGAUAAUUGAUAUGAAGACACAGCCUACCUGUAUCUGUUCAAACGGGACUUCGAAGCUGAAACUCUCAUUAAACACCUACCUGGGUAUCAGUGAAGUUGUAGUCCAACGAGAACUCCAGCUUACCCACAUUUUCCUGUUCUUUCUCCUGUUGCUCCCCUUCCUUCUUCACCUCACCCUCCUACAAGAUCAAAAAAACAUCAGUGCACUAGAUAUUCACCAUGAAGAUCUAAAUCAGCAUUUUUUGAAAAGACAGAAGAUGCAACACGCCACCAAAACCAGGACCACCACGACAAUGGCUCCAACUGCCCACAUGGGAACUGCAAAAUAAAACAGAUUCUAAAGGUGGCUUACUUGGCAGAUGACCAAGUUCAUUCAUGAACUUCUCCUUCAUGUGGUUGUAGUCAUGGCCAGGGUGAUGUUCUGUGUGGGAGUGCUCAUGGUGUUCUGUAUGCGAGUGCUCAUGAUGUUC